rnacentral:rRNA from 1 species
ACUCCUACGGGAGGCAGCAGUGGGGAAUUUUGCGCAAUGGGGGAAACCCUGAUCCAGCCAUGCCGCGUGUGUGAAGAAGGCCUUAGGGUUGUAAAGCACUUUUAACUGGGAGGAAGGCUUUAACGCUAAUACCAUCGUUUACGGCGUUUACUACCAGAAGAAGCACCGGCUAACUCUGUGCCAGCAGCCGCGGUAAUACGGAGGGUGCAAGCGUUAAUCGGAAUUACUGGGCGUAAAGCGCGCGUAGGCGGUUUGUUAAGUUGGAUGUGAAAGCCCUGGGCUCAACCUGGGAACUGCAUUCGACACUAACGCACUUGAGCGUGGUAGAGGGAGGUGGAAUUCCAAGUGUAGCGGUGAAAUGCGUAGAUAUUUGGAAGAAUACCGGUGGCGGAGGCGGCCUUCUGGCUCGCCACUGACGCUGAGGUGCGAAAGCGUGGGGAGCAAACCGGACCAGAUACCCUGGCAGUUCACCCGAUGUCGCUACACCCUGAAUUCGACUUCCCUCUUAAUACUGCAGCUAGCGCACUAAGUUGUCCGCCUGGGGAAUACGGUUGCAAGGUUAAAACUCAAAUGAAUUGACGG